ACAGGUAUGAGGUAGAUGACAUUGAUGAAGAAGGCAAAGCGAGACACACCAUGAGCUGGCAGUCAUGGCAUCAGUGGAAGGCCAACCCCCAGAUGGACCCCAAGGCCUUGUUCCAGAAGGAGCAGCUCAUGUUGGCCCUGUAACCCCAGACCACCUGCUUCUACCGUGCCCUGAUCCAUGCGCCCCUACAGCGGCCCCAGGAUGACUACUUGGUCCUGUUUGAAGACACUCCUAUGCUUGAGUGUCUUCAAGCAUUCCCCUCCCCUCGGCGUGGCCCAGAGGUAGGUGGUGGCUUGUAAGGAGCCCAAGAAAAAGUGACGCUGCCUGGCGGACUCGCCAUCCACCAACGACACAGGGCAGGACAGCAAAGGAUGUGCUGGGAUUAAACACAUUCCCCCUC
rnacentral:lncRNA from 1 species